rnacentral:rRNA from 1 species
GAUGAACGCUGGCGGCGUGCCUAAUACAUGCAAGUCGAGCGAACGGACGAGAAGCUUGCUUCUCUGAUGUUAGCGGCGGACGGGUGAGUAACACGUGGAUAACCUACCUAUAAGACUGGGAUAACUUCGGGAAACCGGAGCUAAUACCGGAUAAUAUUUUGAACCGCAUGGUUCAAAAGUGAAAGGCGGUCUUGCUGUCACUUAUAGAUGGAUCCGCGCUGCAUUAGCUAGUUGGUAAGGUAACGGCUUACCAAGGCAACGAUGCAUAGCCGACCUGAGAGGGUGAUCGGCCACACUAGAACUGAGACACGGUCCAGACUCCUACGGGAGGCAGCAGUAGGGAAUCUUCCGCAAUGGGCGAAAGCCUGACGGAGCAACGCCGCGUGAGUGAUGAAGGUCUUCGGAUCGUAAAACUCUGUUAUUAGGGAAGAACAUAUGUGUAAGUAACUGUGCACAUCUUGACGGUACCUAAUCAGAAAGCCACGGCUAACUACGUG